AAUCCCCACAAAAUUUACUUAAAAUAUUUUAAUUUUUUAAGGGGCAAUUGCUUAUAUAUUCCUGAGUAGUUUUCGACUUUUUAAUUUACCCUCUUAGAAGGCUAUAUUGAAAAUAUUUUUUUAUGUUUCAACUAUUUUAAAUAUAUCCUUAAAGUUAAAUUCUAUUAAUGAACGGUUAGCAAUAGCUAUUAUUAGUAUGAAAUUACUAUUUUGCCCUUUCAAAUAUACCAUUCCACUAUCACCGACUUUUCUUAUUUGCCCUUAAGUUAGGAGUACAAAAAGGAUUUUGAAUUUUGGUAUUUUCAAAUAUACUCUUUUACCAUCACCAACAUUUUUUAUUUGCCCUCAAGUUAAGGGCAAAAAAAUAUUUUAAUAUUUUUUAACUCUAGUAAAUAUGUAACUCACGUUUAAUCCAAAUUAACUUAAUAGGUAGUAACUGUAGAGAUAUUUUGGAAUAACGGAGAAACAUACGGAGAGUAUAUUGGAAAGAAAAAAAAUAAAGAUAAAUGAGAUAUUUAUAAAGUUUUGAG
rnacentral:lncRNA from 1 species